GCCCUUAUAGCUCAGUGGUAGAGCAACCGCCUUGUAAGCGGUAGGUCGUGGGUUCAAAUCCUACUGGGGGCA
rfam:Acetobacter pasteurianus IFO 3283-01 DNA, complete genome.